rnacentral:rRNA from 1 species
UACGUAGGGUGCGAGCGUUGUCCGGAAUUAUUGGGCGUAAAGAGCUUGUAGGCGGUUUGUCGCGUCUGCUGUGAAAAUCCGGGGCUCAACCCCGGACUUGCAGUGGGUACGGGCAGACUAGAGUGUGGUAGGGGAGACUGGAAUUCCUGGUGUAGCGGUGGAAUGCGCAGAUAUCAGGAGGAACACCGAUGGCGAAGGCAGGUCUCUGGGCCACUACUGGCGCUGAGAAGCGAAAGCGUGGGGAGCGAACAGG